GGUCGCCUUCGAGUGGGGUUACUGCGGGGCGAGGGCGAGCUGAGCGAGGCGGAGAAGAACGGCCUCCGCAGCUUCUCCUCCAUCUCCGCAGACUUCUGUGUGCCUGGAUCUGAGGACGACAUCAGACUGACUCAUGAGAACAGAAACGCGUGGCACUCCAGGGUCUCGUUGAACUGCCUCUGGGAGACGUACGCAAAGACCUUAUCCUGAGUUUUAUCUGCUGUGCAAUAGGAGAUUCUGGAAGAAAAGAAAAAGCAUGUCAUCAUCAUCAUCAUCAUCAUCAUAUAGAAAUAAAAUGACAUUGAUGAAUUUAUAACGAUAAAUAAGCUUGAACCUGAGACACAGCCCUUCUCUACUUUGACAUGUUCAGCCAAUACGUGUCUUGCAGAAGCCGCCUGCGUUUUGCAUUAUUCUGCAACACCCCGGUGGUUACGGAACAUUCUGCAGCCUCUUUCACCAAGCACAGAAAAAUUCCCCCCGCGUUGAAGGUACAUUCUGAAAUGUCAGAAUUCCCGCUGUCAGAGGCAAAGCGGAAGGUUUCGCAUUCUGAAUCGAUGGCCUCUGCGCGUGAGCACCUGAGACCUGGUUCCUGUCAGUCACGCCCAAUCUCUCCUGGAUCUUGUUUCCGGCGUUGUGUAAAUCCAGUGGCCCUCGAGGGUCAUCUGGAACCCAUCGAGGCUGAGCCCACGCUGCCAUUUUGUUAUUUUGUGCUAUAGAUCUAAAGCCCCCGUGUGGGUUUGAGUGCACACAGCCUUUAAGUGCAGGCAGAACAAGGAAGGGACUGAUUUUCUGCUCGCCAUCGAGGUUUUCCUGAUAAUUUAACCUGAACCGAGCCGUACUUGGCCCCCUUUCACAUCCUGGAGAUUCCGAUGCCCUCAGACAACGUCAUCCGUCAUCAUUAGAAACACAACACAAAAAAAGGAGUUAUUUAUUUAAUCCAAUAGCAGGCGUGAAAUCGGCAGGCCUCGCGUCUACCCGUCAGAUUGUUUGCUGGCUUCCACCACAGAUACAUGACCCACAUAGCAAAGCCCAGGACGCCCCGUCCCCCCUACACUCUGACUUAUAUUUGGGCCCUAAUUGCAGAAAUGAUGAAAGGGUUGACCUAUAUACAGUUUGGAAAACAAGCGUGAUGUAUUUAAAGUACUUUAAAGUAGUACUAUACUGUAACUUUAUAAAUAAAGGACUCAGAUAUUUG